UUGGGCUCGGGGAGGACCCUGAGCUGUCCAGAGUUCCACAGAGUUCCGAAUUCUUACCUGGAGAGCUGCCUGUGUCAUUCAUCAAGUAAAUAGCCACCCAUGCUUCAGCGCUAGGAAACCACUCCAUCGUGGGAAAACCAGGACAGAGGUCAUGGAGCCUCUAGUGGUGCCACCAUGGCUUAUCUACUCUCUACCAGAACAACAAAAUGUCACUGCAAAAGAAGAGAAUCGUUCCCCACCAAGUGCUUAAUGUCUGGUUCCUGCCAGGAUCUCGUAGCAUCAUCACCCAAAUUAUCAACUAACUAG
rnacentral:lncRNA from 1 species